AACGAACGCUGGCGGCAUGCCUAACACAUGCAAGUCGAACGAUCCCUUCGGGGAUAGUGGCGCACGGGUGCGUAACGCGUGGGAACCUGCCCUUAGGUUCGGAAUAACUCAGAGAAAUUUGAGCUAAUACCGGAUAAUGUCUUCGGACCAAAGAUUUAUCGCCUUUGGAUGGGCCCGCGUUGGAUUAGCUAGUUGGUGGGGUAAAGGCCUACCAAGGCGACGAUCCAUAGCUGGUCUGAGAGGAUGAUCAGCCACACUGGGACUGAGACACGGCCCAGACUCCUACGGGAGGCAGCAGUGGGGAAUAUUGGACAAUGGGCGAAAGCCUGAUCCAGCAAUGUCGCGUGAGUGAUGAAGGCCUUAGGGUUGUAAAGCUCUUUUACCCGGGAUGAUAAUGACAGUACCGGGAGAAUAAGCCCCGGCUAACUCCGUG
rnacentral:rRNA from 1 species